GUGCAGGAUAGGUUACAAUGUAGCUUGGCGGUGCUGCAUUGUCGUUCCCCCUGCAAACAGCCACUUGUUUCCUCGCUAUGCCUGUCAUGUUGACAUCCCUUGACUGACAGGAACGAAUGGUUUCAGACAA
rnacentral:snoRNA from 1 species